UACGAAGGGGGCUAGCGUUGCUCGGAAUCACUGGGCGUAAAGCGCACGUAGGCGGCUUCUUAAGUCAGGGGUGAAAUCCUGGAGCUCAACUCCAGAACUGCCUCUGAUACUGAGGAGCUCGAGUCCGGGAGAGGUGAGUGGAACUCCGAGUGUAGAGGUGAAAUUCGUAGAUUAUUCGGAAGAACACCAGUGGCGAAGGCGGCUCACUGGCCCGGUACUGACGCUGAGGUGCGAAAGCGUGGGGAGCAAACAGG
rnacentral:rRNA from 1 species